ensembl:lncRNA
GGGGCAGUGGAGGUGUGUGAGCUUUAUUAACGUAGAGACAAAACGUUGUGCGUUUUGGGGGACACUUAUUUUAUAAUUCCACAUCAGACAGUCCUGAAACGAUGCAGCUGACACUGUGGGAAGGUGUACUCUCAAUCUGAGGUGAAAGUGGUCUGUGCAAUCAGUAACUUUUAUUUUGAUAGAUUUUUGAAAGUAGAGAUGCAGCAGAUUAUUUAUGAGAUUUGGGAGGCUAUUAUUUUGUAAUUCCACAUCAGACAGUCCUGAAACGACGCAGUUGACACUGUGGAAAGGUGUACUCUCAAUCUGAGGUGAAAGUGGUCUGUGCAAUCUAGAACUUUUAUUUUUAUUUGUUUUUAAAUAUA